rnacentral:rRNA from 1 species
CCUACGGGUGGCAGCAGUGGGGAAUAUUGGGCAAUGGGCGCAAGCCUGACCCAGCAACGCCGCGUGAAGGAAGAAGGCUUUCGGGUUGUAAACUUCUUUUCUCAGGGACGAAGCAAGUGACGGUACCUGAGGAAUAAGCCACGGAUAAAUACGUGCCAGCAGCCGCGGUAAUACGUAGGUGGCAAGCGUUAUCCGGAUUUUCUGGGUGGAAAGGGCGUGUAGGCGGGACUGCAAGUCAGAUUGGAAAACCACGGGCUCAACCUGUGACCUGCAUUUGAAACUGUAGUUCUUGAGUACUGGAGAGGCAGACGGAAUUCCUAGUGUAGCGGUGAAAUGCGUAGAUAUUAGGAGGAACACCAGUGGCGACGGCGGUCUGCUGGACAGCAACUGACGCUGAGGCGCGAAAGCGUGGGGAGCAAACAGGAUUAGAUACCCGAGUAGUC